AGAAGGACGCGACGUAUUUGUCGGCGGAUACGGCGGGUCUUCCAUCCUGGUGCUUCUCCUCCUCACCAACUCUCUCUCAACGUGCCUCUAUCUCCCGAGCUUUACAACCCCGUUCGCCGGAAGUAAGGGCCUUCGUCGAAGGAGAGUCAGCAGGGUUGCGAGGGGGAAGCCAACUAUACCCAAACAGUUUUGAAAGUCUUCGAUUAAUCGCGCCUUAAUUAAAAAAUAGUUCGGGAGCGUCGUGUAAAAAGUUUGCGCGUUCGAAUUCGGGAGUGCCGUGAAAGUGUCGCGCAUUCAUUUUUAUUAAUUUUAAUUUCGGAAAUACCGUGCAAAGGUAUUAUUACAUAGUAACGUUAAACGUUUAACGUUUUAAGUGACCCGUUUUAUCGAUACUGAAUAUUAGGAUAUCAGUUCGCGAAUGCAGAAUUCGGGAAUGCCGUGCGUUUGUUUUUAUUGUAUCGCGGACGAUUCGCGCGUGAUUGUCAUUAACAUUUUUCGUGAAUAUAUGCAGUGCGUGAAUGCAACGAAUUCCAGAGGACAAUCUGACAGUCUGAGAGGAGGACGAGGUCCUGGGGGACAUCGGGCAACGGCGGAGCAAGCUUAUGGUGAACUUAGUCUACGCAGUUCCAUCGAUCAGUGAGUGAUAAACUUUUAUUUUAUGGUAGAGAACGCCAAGUAUAUGUAGUAAUAGA